rnacentral:rRNA from 1 species
ACACGACUCUCGGCAACGGAUAUCUAGGCUCUCGCAUCGAUGAAGAACGUAGCAAACUGCGAUACUUGGUGUGAAUUGCAGAAUCCCGUGAACCAUCGAGUCUUUGGACGCAAGUUGCGCCCGAAGCCAUUAGGCCGAGGGCACGUCUGCCUGGGCGUCACGC